rnacentral:rRNA from 1 species
GACGAACGCUGGCGGCGUGCUUAACACAUGCAAGUCGAACGGAAAGGCCCUGCUUUGGUGGGGUGCUCGAGUGGCGAACGGGUGAGUAACACGUGAGUAACCUGCCCUUGACGUUGGGAUAACGUCAGGAAACUGGGGCUAAUACCGGAUAGGAGCUCCUGCUGCAUGGUGGGGGUUGGAAAGUUUCGGCGGUUGGGGAUGGACUCGCGGCUUAUCAGCUUGUUGGUGGGGUAGUGGCUUACCAAGGCUUGGACGGGUGGCCGGCCUGAGAGGGUGACCGGCCACAUUGGGACUGAGCUGCGGCCCAGACUCCUACGGGAGGCAGCAGUGGGGAAUAUUGCACAAUGGGCGGAAGCCUGCUGCAGCAACGCCGCGUGCGGGAUGACGGCCUUCGGGUUGUAAACCGCUUUCGCCUGUGACGAAGCGUGAGUGACGGUAAUGGGUAAAGAAGCACCGGCUAACUACGUG